AUACGGAGGGUGCGAGCGUUAAUCGGAAUUACUGGGCGUAAAGCGCGCGUAGGUGGUUUGGUAAGUCGGAUGUGAAAGCCCCGGGCUCAACCUGGGAAUUGCAUUCGAUACUGCUUGACUAGAGUAUGGUAGAGGGAAGUGGAAUUUCCGGUGUAGCGGUGAAAUGCGUAGAUAUCGGAAGGAACACCAGUGGCGAAGGCGACUUCCUGGGCCAAUACUGACGCUGAGGUGCGAAAGCGUGGGGAGCAAACAGGAUUAGAUACCCCAGUAGUCC
rnacentral:rRNA from 1 species